GGAGUCGGCCAGGCAGUCGCGUCGCGCGCAAGCGCGCCGAGGAAAGUCCGGGCUCCACAGGGCAAGGUGCCAGGUAACGCCUGGGCGGCGCGAGCCGACGGAAAGUGCAACAGAAAACAAACCGCCAACCCGUCAUGGGCGCGUCGCGCUGAGACGGCGGUAAGGGUGAAACGGUGGGGUAAGAGCCCACCGCGUGCGGGGCCAACGCCGCACGGCACGGCAAACCCCACCUGGAGCAAGGCCAAAUAGGGACGCUACGAUGUUGCCCGCAUCGCGUCCGGGUAGGCUGCUGGAGUGGCACGGCGACGUGUCACCGAGAGGAAUGACUGCCCACGACAGAACCCGGCUUAUCG
rnacentral:RNase_P_RNA from 1 species